AAUAAACUGGUAUGCCCAUGCCUGCUCAGUGAUGGCUCAUAUGCCCUUGCUUUAUUGCAAUGCAAUUAAGCCUAAGUGGUUGCAUACUAUAAAACAUUUAUAGUAUUCAAUGAAAAAACAGAGUGUUAGGUGUGUUUCUAUGCCAAUAUGGUUCCGACAUUUUACAGGGGGCUACUCCCAUGUUGGCGACCCCCCACACUCCCAUGUCUUCGUCUCCGCCCAUCCACCCGGCGCCGUGUUGCAUGAACCAAGGGAACCUGCUAGGUUCGUUGAGUUCAUGCGCCAACAAAACGUAUGGCUCCCAUUCCCCCAAUAAUACCCUAUAUAGCCAAUACCCCCUCCUCCCCCUCUCCAGUUGAUACUUCACGUACGCCUGCAUGGAGAAAUUCCUCGCGCGGCGUUAAAUAUUACCAAGGAGGUAGUCCGUUGAAAAGAGUCCAUCGUUAAUUCUUGGUAAGUGAUAAUGUUUUUUAAGCAGAUGUUUCAUAACACACAUAGGCCUACAUGUAUCUUCCUAGUCCCAGAAAACGGCCAAGCUCUACGAUGGGUAAGUUCGUAGCCUAUCAUUGUGUGGCCGCGUACUGAGGCCUCAAAGUAAUGUUUCUUUCAUUCGUUUAUCCGUUUUAUUUAAAGCAGAAUGUAGCCUAAUCAAACAACGAAAAAAUGUUUCAAAUUGAUCUCAUUUGAAAUGCAUUCUGUUUUGUAUAACUCCAAUUUCUUCUGGCCUCUAUAGGCACUCUAUCAUGGUCAUUUGAUAGGAUUUUUCUCCCAAACUACAUAAGACCUACAUUAAUAUCUAGCUUGCAGACAGCAUUAUCCAGCAAUUCAUUGUUCUUUGUUUUCAAAUAUUUGUGGCUUCCUCCUCUCUGCACCCAUGUAAAGUUCAGAUCUUAUUUUAAUAAUCUGAAUUCUCCGUCCAGAUGCAUGCUCAAUGCCAUGGGUAUUAUAUAAAGCUUCAUGUAAAAUAGAAAUGGUUUUACGUAAUACCAAAACAAUGCCAGAAACAUUGCCCAGUGAAGAGCAUGACCUCACAUGUUGUUUUGCUGUGGCUAUAUUCAUGCCCUGUAGCUCUAAUUAGGUCAAUGACACUGCAUUAGAUAUGGUCUCAGCAUCAUACAUGGCACAUAUGUGACGUGGGACAAUGGGAGGGGGCUUUUUCUUGAGUAAAUGAUGGAAGUGUGUGGCGUUGCAUAAUACACUGCAGCGUAUUAACACACUUGCUCCUUCAAGCGUGCACCGUACUGCAUGGCAAUACUUUUUGAGCGCACUGUCCUUUUCCCUUGCUCUUUCUCUCUCUCUCUCUCUCUCCUUCUCUCUUCCCCAGUCUCUGUUCACUAAAUGGCUAAAUCGUAUCUGACAGGCAGUGUACGUGCAGCUCUGUGAAUGUUUAUGUAAGUGUGUGUCCCUGACUGUCCACUGAGAGGUGCACACACACACACACACACACACACACACACAAAUACACACAGGCUCUCUCUCAUACACAAACACACACACAGCGAGGCAGUGUUGGGAGUUUCAGGGUGUCUCUGCUCAGAGUGCAGCGGUCUCUUGCUGGUGCUGGAUGUAAUCAGUCUUCGCAAGCAGGAGGAAGGUUGGCUGUGGAGUCGGUCUGUGAAAGUACACUGCAACAAUGAUCAUCAGACUCGGAAGACUGACUCCAGGAUACUUCCGUCUUCUGCAGCGGCAGGUCUCUGGUGAAGUGCGGAUGCAGCCGCAGACUGGCCCUGUCAACCACAUCGCUAUGACGAUGGCCACAGUGGGAUUAGGGAUGUCCUGCUACAGUGCCCGGCAGAUGGCUGAGCGGGUCCACCUGAAGGAGGCUUCAGCCUGAGAUGCCGCCCCCUAGAGGCCACGAGAGGACACCUCUCUGCCCAAAAGACCAUGGGGCACGUUCAGGACUCAGACCUGCUACACGAUUGGUGUUUAAAUAGGACAAGCUAUGUGGUCAGUGUUUAAAAGAUUUAUCAAUAAUGUAAUGUUCAGGUAACAUACAUACCUUUACUGUAAGUAAUUGCACUUAAUUCUGACAUUAAACCAGUGACAUUGUCACCACUCACCAGACACUAAAUCAAACUAAAAUGGAAAAACCUGAUAAUUUCAUUUUACCUGACUAAUGUGAAGGAGUGGAUCUUACCAUGAAUAUGAGGCUUGGUUGAUGAGGUUCGGUGUUUUUGUACGUUGAAAUGUGUUUGUUGGAGAAUGAUGGAAUGCUAAGCUGUGUGUUAACAGAGAUGAGUUUUCUGGAAAGUGUUGUGAAGGAAAAGUGAAAGUGCUGCUCCUCUGAAAGACGUUUGCCCUUCGUGUUUGUCACUACCAAACGUUUUUGUUGCUUUAACAUGGAGAUGUCUUUGUGUAUGAGACAAACUCUGACUAUACUUGACAUAUGUACAUCCUGACACUGUUUAUCUUACAUGUGUAACAAGCAAAAGCUUAAUGAAAUAAUACUGUAAGACUUAGGCUACUUUAUAGGAAUACUAAGAAUACAUUAGUCAUCACACUACUGUGGGAUUUGCCACUUUUACUAACUCAUCAUAAGAAUUGCACCUGUAUUAGCCUACUUUGUUAACUGAAUGGAACUUUAUACUGUGCACCAAACUGUUUUUUAAACUGUGAAUAAAAUUUCUUUUAAAUAA